rnacentral:misc_RNA from 1 species
GAUGAAGAACGUAGCGAAAUGCGAUACGUAAUGUGAAUUGCAGAAUUCAGUGAAUCAUCGAGUCUUUGAACGCACAUUGCGCCCCCUGGUAUUCCGGGGGGCAUGCCUGUCCAAGCGUCAUUGCUGCCCUCAAGCACGGCUUGUGUGUUGGGCCUCCGUCCUCCUCCCGGGGGACGGGCCCGAAAGGCAGCGGCGGCACCGCGUCCGGUCCUCGAGCGUAUGGGGCUUCGUCACCCGCUCUUGUAGGCCCGGCCGGCGCUUGCCGACACAUCAAUCUUUUUUCCAGGUUGACCUCGGAUCAGGUAGGGAUACCCGCUGAACUUAAGCAUAUCAAUAAGCGGAGGA